AAUAAUUAUAACUAGGGUUUUUUUUGGUUGAUUGUGCAGCAAUGACAAGAGUCUAUUUAUAGCCUGGGCAAUUCCACUGCCUUCACACUUCCUUUAUAUAUUGCGUGUUACCAAGUAAAGUAUAACUAGGGUGUUUUUGGUUGUAAUCUCAAGAUAUCUCUCUAUAUUUGAGCUUGUUUGUUCUUCCUUGGAGAACCUAAAUGUUUUAAAGCAUAAAAAGAUUGAGGAAAUUUCAUACAUGAAGUCAAGAUAACACUUGAAGACAUUCACAAGAUAGGUGAUGGGAGUACAUAAAACUAUAAAGUGCACUUCCUAGUUGGAUCAUGAGACCACCACAUUUUAACAGAUUUUGUGACUGAUCAAAUUUCUAAACGACGUCAGACCUUGAGCAAAAGCUGAUUUGGUUGGCUGUGGACAUUAAAUGCAGUUGUCAGACUCUUUAUCUGUGUAGUAUUUGUGCAUAACUGAUCAGCAGUAUGAACCAGUACCCGUACUACUCUAAACUGUGUGGGUUGGUUAUAGACCAUGGAGCAACAGCUCUGAGGAAUUAUCUACAAAGCAACAUUGUUGAUGUGUGGAUACAGCAACAGCAUGGGCAGCAGCAGCAGCAACAACAACAACAACAGCAACAACAA